rnacentral:rRNA from 1 species
AGAUGAGAUUUCUUUUAAGGGUCGUAGGAGACGACUACGUUGAUAGGUCACAGGUGUAAAGGCAGUAAUGUCAUAGCCGAGUGAUACUAAUUACCCGUAAGCCUAUCGUA